rnacentral:rRNA from 1 species
AGAGUUUGAUCCUGGCUCAGAGCGAACGUUAGCGGCGGGCCUAACACAUGCAAGUCGAACGAGAAAGCGGCUUCGGCCGUGAGUAAAGUGGCGGACGGGUGAGUAACACGUGGAUAACCUACCUCACCGCGGGGGAUAACUGUCCGAAAGGAUAGCUAAUACCGCGUAAGUCCACCUGGGCUCCGGCCUGGGUGGGGAAAGCAGCCCUCUCCAUGGAAGGUUGCACGGUGAGAUGGGUCCGCGUCCCAUCAGCUAGUUGGUGAGGUAAUGGCUCACCAAGGCUUAGACGGGUAGCUGGUCUGAGAGGAUGAUCAGCCACACUGGAACUGAGACACGGUCCAGACUCCUACGGGAGGCAGCAGUGGGGAAUAUUGGGCAAUGGGCGCAAGCCUGACCCAGCCACGCCGCGUGAGUGAUGAAGGCCUUCGGGUCGUAAAGCUCUGUGGGGAGGGACGAAAAAACGCUGGCCAAUAUCCAGCGGACUGACGGUACCUCCUAGC